rnacentral:tRNA from 1 species
GGAAAGAUGGCUGAGUGGUUGAAAGCACGUCCCUGCUAAGGACGCAUACCUUAUAAAUGGGGUAUCGAGGGUUCGAAUCCCUCUCUUUCCG